AUUGAACGCUGGCGGCAGGCCUAACACAUGCAAGUCGAACGAGUGGCGGACGGGUGAGUAAUGUCUGGGAAACUGCCCGAUGGAGGGGGAUAACUACUGGAAACGGUAGCUAAUACCGCAUACCAUCGGAUGUGCCCAGAUGGGAUUAGCUAGUAGGUGGGGUAAUGGCUCACCUAGGCGACGAUCCCUAGCUGGUCUGAGAGGAUGACCAGCAACACGGGAAAGGAGACACGGUCCAGAGUCCUACGGGAGGCAGCAGGGGGGAAUAUGGCACAAUGGGCGCAAGCCGGAGGCAGCCAUGCCGAGUGUAUGAAGAAGGACUGCGGGUUGUAAAGUACUGUCAGCGAGGAGGCGUUACUCGCAGAAGAAGCACCGGCUAACUCCGUGCCAGCCGCCGCGGUAAUAC
rnacentral:rRNA from 1 species